UACAGAGGUCUCAAGCGUUGUUCGGAUUCAUUGGGCGUAAAGGGUGCGUAGGCGGUCGCGCAAGUCGGAUGUGAAAUCUUGGGGCUCAACCCCGAAACUGCAUUCGAUACUGCGUGGCUCGAGUACUGGAGAGGAGACUGGAAUUUACGGUGUAGCAGUGAAAUGCGUAGAUAUCGUAAGGAAGACCAGUGGCGAAGGCGGGUCUCUGGACAGUUCCUGACGCUGAGGCACGAAGGUCAGGGGAGCAAACGGG
rnacentral:rRNA from 1 species